AGGGAAUGUAUCUGGAGAGGGGUGACUGGAAGCCAAAGUGCAGACCUGUGAGUGCACUGGAAGAGGCCAAAAAACCAUGGCAACAGAGAUAAUGGUGCUGACAGACCCUGAGUUUGAGAGCAGUGUGCUCAUGAGCUCAGAUGAAGGAGCGAGCUAUCAGAAAUAUCUUCCUCAGCUUCUACAUCGUAAUCCUUCUGUUCCAUCCAACACAGGAGGAUUGGGCCCUAGCCUACAGCCACGACCAGAAGGUCAUAUCCCAUAUAACUUCCCGUGAAGAAGACUUACCAUUAUGGCCAAUGAGUCUUACCUGGCUACCAAGAUGGCUAUUCCACAUGGAAGACUGGUUGAGGUGGGAGAAGAUUGACACCUUGGGUUGCUAACUGACCUCAAUAUCAGUCAUAACAAUGAAACCUGGACAGCUCCAGAGGUUGUAAUUUGUUACGCUUUCGGUCUGUGAUGGCCUUCGUCGGAAAAUGCUGGCUACACGAGUUUGUAACAGAAGCUGAUGGGCUGUUUGAUGCAAACUAUAGAUGUUGGUGAUAUUUUGUUUGCAUUAAAAGGAUGGACCUUUUUGGACAUGGAACACUCCCAGAAGACAUACCUUUGCGGACAUGGAACACCCUCAGAAGACAUACCGUUGUGGACAUGGGACACUCUCAAAAGACAUACCUUUGUGGACAUGGAACACUCUCAGACAACAUAACUUUGUGGACAUCGAACACUCACAGACGAGAUAAGUACAAUGCUGAUUAAAUGAUUCCUUAAGCAUUGAUGCGUCAUGGAAUCUAAUGGUGAUUAGUAAAUUAGAUAAUGUACUGUAGUAUUUCAUUGGGAGUCCAUACAAGUGCAACUUUAAAACAGUCUGUUCUUUACUGAUAACAUAUAUAUUUUUCUAUAUUCAAACAGCUGUGUCUCAGGCUUUGUCAGAACCAUUUUAAUAUUUGUCGUUGGUCUUUUUGUAUUAAAUGCAGGUCAAUCUUUAUCUCUUUCCGUCAAUGUCUGGAGUAAACUGUUCUCUUUCGAGUUCUUGACUCAUCUCAGAAUUAGUUUGCAGUGUAAAGACAU